rnacentral:rRNA from 1 species
AUUGAACGCUAGCGGGAUGCUUUACACAUGCAAGUCGAACGAGAGGCGGACGGGUGAGUAAUAUAUCGGAACGUGCACAGUAGAGGGGGAUAACUACUCGAAAGAGUGGCUAAUACUGCAUACUAUUGGAGCGGCCGAUAUCGGAUUAGCUAGUUGGUGGGGUAAAGGAGCACCAAGGCAACGAUCCGUAGCAGGUUUGAGAGGACGACCGGCCACACUGGGACUGAGACGCGGCCCAGACUCCUACGGGAGGCAGCAGUGGGGAAUUUUUGACAAUGGGGGAAACCCUGGUCCAGCCAUCCCGCGUGUAUGAGAAGGCCUUCUGGUUGUAACGUACUUUUGGCAGAGAAGCGGUAUCUGCCGAAUAAGCACCGGCUAACUACGUGCCAGCAGCCGCGGUAAUUC